GACAGAGGAUGCAAGCGUUAUCCGGAAUGAUUGGGCGUAAAGCGUCUGUAGGUGGCUUUUCAAGUCCGCUGUGAAAUCCCCGGCCUCAACCUGGGAAUGGCAGUGGAUACUGGGAGGCUAGAGUUCGGUAGGGGAGACUGGAAUUCCUGGUGUAGCGGUGAAAUGCGUAGAGAUCGGGAGGAACAUCAGUGGCGAAGGCGGCCAUCUGGGACAACACUGACGCUGAAGCACGAAAGCGUGGGGAGCAAACAGG
rnacentral:rRNA from 1 species